AUGAAUAUGAUUUGGCUUUACCAAAAAGUAGAAAGGAAUUUGUUGGUUUCCAAGAAAUGGUCAAAACAGUCAAAGUGGAAGCUAAUACGUACCUUAUCAACAUUUUUUGUGCCACAAGUAACAACUGGUGUACUACAAGAUUCAACAGACCAACAACAGAAACUACUGCAGCUAGUUAGGGUUGAACAGAUACAUACAUGA